GAUGAACGCUGGCGGCGGGCCUAACACAUGCAAGUCGAGCGAAGAGGGGACGGGUGAGUAACAGGUGUAUAACCUUCUUUAAGACUGGGCUAACUGCGGGAAACCGGAGCCAAAUCGGAUACUUAAAGGUGAAACCGCGUUGGAUUAGCUAGUUGGUACGCUAACGGCUUACCAAGGCAACGAUGCAUAGCUGACCGGAGAGGUUGCUUGGCCACACUGGAACUGAGAAACGGUCCAGACUCCUAGGGGAGGCAGCAGUAGGGAAUUUUCCGCAAUGGGCGAAAGCCUGACGGAGCAACGCCGCGUGCGUGAUGAAGGUCUUCGGAUCGUAAAGCACUGUUAGUGGGGAAGCUGUACCUAAUCAACAAGCCUCGGCUAACUACGUGCCAGCAGCCGCGGUAAUAC
rnacentral:rRNA from 1 species